UGGGGAAUUUUGGACAAUGGGGGAAACCCUGCUCCAGCCAUCCCGCGUGUGCGAUGAAGGCCUUCGGGUUGUAAAGCACUUUUGGCAGGAAAGAAACGUCAUGGGUUAAUACCCCGUGAAACUGACGGUACCUGCAGAAUAAGCACCGGCUAACUACGUGCCAGCAGCCGCGGUAAUACGUAGGGUGCAAGCGUUAAUCGGAAUUACUGGGCGUAAAGCGUGCGCAGGCGGUUCGGAAAGCAAGAUGUGAAAUCCCAGAGCUCAACUUUGGAACUGCAUUUUGAACUACCGGGCUAGAGUGUGUCAGAGGGAGGUGGAAUUCCGCGUGUAGCAGUGAAAUGCGUAGAUAUGCGGAGGAACACCGAUGGCGAAGGCAGCCUCCUGGGAUAACACUGACGCUCAUGCACGAAAGCGUGGGGAGCAAACAGG
rnacentral:rRNA from 1 species